GGCCAGGUGGCAGAGUGGUUAUGCAGCGGAUUGCAAAUCCGUCUACGUCGGUUCGAUCCCGGCCCUGGCCUCCA
rnacentral:tRNA from 1 species